CCGGGCGCCGGGGUUGGGCGGCGUCCCCGGGGGGCUCCGGGCUCCUCCAGGGCCUCUCCGGGGACACAAGGAAAACGACCUUCUUUUCCCUUGCAGCGGCGGGGGAGGGCGAAGUGGAGGACCGCUGCUCGGUUCCGUAUCCAAAAGGGACCCAAGGCUACAGGCAAAAUAGAUUGGACAUUUUCACUUUCUCAAGCCAGGGCCACCGGUCGCCCAACCAGCAGCCACUGAGGGUGGUAUCGGGGCGCCCCUUCCCCUGGCAGCGUAUUUCAGCCCCCAGAAACAUCCCCCACCUCGGCCAUCCCCAGCGCCUUUGCAGGGACAGCAGCACAACCAUAGCAGAGGUCUUGGGCACCCUGGGAAUAAUGUGCUGGUGUAAAUGUUGGAUUGAGAAAUGAAAAAGCAUUUGGGAUCAAUCUGGGGCCCUCUCGUUUGACACGGGAGGAAACACCAGGCCGCAGCGUUGGGGGAAGCUGCUUCCUUUCUCUCUCUUGUUUCUCUUUCUCUCUCAGGUGCUUCCUUUCUCUCUUCUCUCUCUCUCUCCCUCCUUGUGGCUAGGUGAUCUGGCUCAGACGCUCUCUCUCUUUCUCAGGUGCUUCCUUUCUCUUCUCUGUGUAUGUGUGUGUGUGUGUCUCUCUCUCCACUUCUCCCCCUUUCUCCCCCUCCUUGUGGCUAGGUGAUGUGGCUCAGACUCUCUCUCUCUAUCUCUUUCUCUCUCUCUCAGGUGCUUCCUUUCUCUCUCUCUUCUCUCUCUCUCUCUGUCUCUCUUCCUCCUUGUGGCUAGGUGAUCUGGCUCAGAAGUGCACGUUGGUCCGCGCCUGCGGGGAGCUGAAAAGCAAAAGAAUGGACCUGUGCACGUGUCAAGCAAGGUUUGGCCUGCUUUGAAGACAGUGAUUUCAGAGCCACUCCGGCCUCUACGUCACAAGCAAGCAUCACGGCAGUGGUGGGGCGGCAGGUGAUCCUGAGACCUCCUAUGCCAUCUCUUUGGCCCCGGUGCUUCUGGUUGGAAAGGGAGAAAAGUGGCCAGCUGAGGACGACAGAAAAGCCUGAACGAGGAUGCAAAAUUCUAAGGAUGGAUCAUCACAGGCCCAGCCUGGAGGAGUGAAGGGCUUGGGAGAGCGAAGACGUGGAGAAGACGCCCCACCCCCAUCCUAGGUAGUGCUCCCAUACCACAGCAUUCUGUGGGUUUGCCUGCUCAUCAUGCAUCUCCUGGAUCUCCUGGUCUGUGGACGCAUGGACCUGACUCAGCACGCUGAACCACUGGCUGUGGGGAAGAGAGAACAACUGUGAAGGAGAGGCCAACCUCGUAUUGAUUCCCCAGCCUGCUCAAGAUCAACAUCUUACACGCAUCUGUUAUUAUAAGACUGUCCACACAUUAUUUUCUUUCGACCAACCAGUAAUGAAAUAAGGGACAUUUAAACAUGGGAUAUUUAAAGUAAGUAUAAACGAAGUGUUUUUCUCUUAUGCGUUCAGUGUGUGAAAACCAGACAGUGCACUUGCUUCACUGAACUUUCUAGACUCCUCUCCCUCCUUUUGUCCAAGAGGUCCCUGCUCAUUUAGCUGAGACAUCUUUGGUAAUUGUGCCAAGCUGCAGAGCUGUGUCCUAACAUACGGUAAACUUGCCAAGGGCUACCAGAAAGAAACAUUAUUAGUGUUUUGAUUUGUGACUUUAAUCUGCGUUUCUCAAAACACGUCCAGAGGAAAACUGUGUAAAGUUAUUCUAUGAUCUUGUUGUUGUUAAAUGAUAAAGCUUAUUCACAGUUGUUUCGAAGAUUAAAACAGUCAUCACAACAGCCCUCACCAUUAGUUUAUUUAAUCUGUCGUUCUGUUAUCGAUAGCACUCACUCUUGGCCCUCCCUUUGCAAUUCCAGGCCGUCUCUUGAAAAUGCAUCAUUUAGAUAAUCUACUUUAAUGCUAUAAUUUCCCAAUUGCAAACACCUUUAGUGGGUUAUUUGGUUGUGAAAACUCAUGUAUGCCCAUAAAAUAUAAACUGGUGAUUAGAUUUUCUCAUUCAUUGGUUGCUCUGAAACUUUUUGGCUCUGUUUUAAUUAAAAGUUUUAUUAAAUAUUAAA